CAAUCUUCCAUACGCAUUAUCACCUUUUUGGUCUAUUCUCAGCAUAUUUCCGGUUGUUUUUAGUUGUUAAAUUUUUUUGUUUUAAGUUUUAAAAACAUUUUUGUCCUUCAUUGUAGCUUGUUGGCAGUUCUGAUACGUCUGCGUUGUGCGAUGCGAGUUGCGGAGGUGAGCUGAGGGAAACGCGAGGUUGCGGUUGGUUUUGCAGGGCUGUACAGGAUCAGACAGGAUGGCCUGUCUCGGCCCGGCCCGGCCUGGCUCGGCCUGGCUCGGCCUGGCUCGGCCUGGCUCGGCUCGGCCUGGCUCGGCCCGGCUCGGCUCGACUCGGCUCGGCUCGGCUCGGCUCGGCUCGGCUCUGUUUGGCCCCCCUCGUCACAGCACACCGCUUUCUCACAGUUGACAGUACAGCCCGCUGUUCGGAUCACCGAUUUUUGUAGACGAUUGAAUAAUUGCCGUGCUUUUUUUUUUUUUUAUAUGACAGCGUGCGUGUUAUCCCCCUGACGCUGUGCGGACGGCGUGCGGUGGCAGAGGUGAGGUGAGGAUGUAAGAAGCUUCAGGAUGACGGACAAAAGUUCUGCACCUUGUUCGUUCUUGUGUGCGGGGAUCGUUGCGACUGUAGCCUGUGGAUGUGUGUAUGGGAGUUUGCCAAUAUCUGUGUCUAGUGAGUGAGUGUGUGUCUGUGUGUGUGUGUGUGUGUGUGCGCGCAAGCACAUAUGCAUGUGUGUCUGUUGCGUGAGUCUGAAUCUAUAUUAGUUGAUAGGAGUAUAUUUGAGAGUCACUGGUGCAUGAAUAAUUUUUCAGUUAAUAAAUGUGUGUGUGUGUGUUAGCGUUCACGUGUCCGCGCACGCGUGUCUGGUGUGGUUCUGUGGCGGGGGUGUGUGUGUGUGUGUAUAUGUAGGUGUGUGUGUGUGUGUUAGCGUUCACGUGUCCGCGCACGCGUGUCUGGUGUGUUUCUGCCUCGGGGACGUGUGUGUGUAUGUAGGUGUGUGUGUGUGUGUUAGCGUUCACGUGUCCGCGCACGCGUGUCUGGUGUGUUUCUGUGGUGGGCGUGUGUUUAUCUGCUAGUUGAUCAUUAUGCUAGUUCGUCGUUCCGCGCACCGCGCAUCGUGUUCGGAGAAGAGGAAUCACAGCACUGAGCCUUUUUUCGGCCUAAUUAAGAUGCAAACGCUUUUGCCUGUACCUGCGAAAAAAUGUACAUAGAAGGGUAUUUCAUUUAGGGAUUUGAUUAACUGUUAAAUGUACACAUUAUUUUGGUUUUAGCUUUUUUAUUUUUUUAUUUUUUCCCCCUUCGAGUGACCUUCAUGAGGUUAUGAGGUUUCUGAAUGAUUCGUUGUUUGAGGCCAGAAGAGGCUCAACUGAGUGGCCAAUAAUUGACGUUCUUCUGCGUGCGUUUCCGAUCUUUCACCUCCUGGCCCGAGAGACUUCACUGCACUGUCUACAAACAGCCUGUCCCAAGUUCUGCAAUAUUGACUGCUUUAUUGGGAAAGAAGUGAUUUGUGUGACAGUUCCAGAAAAAAAAUGAAAGAUUUGAUAACCUAGCCGCUAAAUUCUGGUCUUUUAAUGUAAAUCCAUAUUUUGGUGUACCACAGUCUGAAUUUCUAGAUUUAGAAUUUUGGUAGAUUUUCUAAAUCUAAUUAGCGUUAAUUUGUUUUAUUUACCAGUUAGUGUAGGCUGGAGGAAACCAUAAAAAAAGACAAUUUUUUGUUUUAAAAAAAAAAAAAAAAAACAAGAAAACAAAGAUAUUUAUUUGUAUCUUUUUUAAUGUUGAAUAAAUACAGCCACCAGAUAAGCAACAGCAAUGGACCAAUGGGAGGUCCCUUUCUGUGAACUAAUCUCACCUGUAGCAUGUUUAUAGACUGGCAAAGAUGGGACUUUUAUAAAUAACAAGGAAAAAAAAAAUAAAGACUUGCUGAAUGA